rnacentral:rRNA from 1 species
GACGAACGUUGGCGGCGUGCUUAAUACAUGCAAGUCAACUGAAGCAGUGGUAGCAAUAUCGCUGUGGAGGUGGCGCACGGGUGAGUAACACGUAGGUAAUCUGCCUUCAGGUCCGGCAUAACUCCGGGAAACCGGGGCUAAUAGCAGAUGAUGCAGCGGCUCGACAUCGAGACAGUUGUUAAAGCUAUGGCGCCUGAAGAUGAGCCUGCGUCUGAUUAGCUAGUUGGCGGGGUAACGGCCCACCAAGGCAACGAUCAGUAGCUGGUCUGAGAGGAUGAUCAGCCACACUGGAACUGAGACACGGUCCAGACUCCUCCGGGAGGCAGCAGUAAGGAAUAUUGCUCAAUGGGAGAAAUCCUGAAGCAGCAACGCCGCGUGAGGGACGAAGGGCUUUUGCUUGUAAACCUCUGUAGUGAGAGAAAAAAAUCCCAAUCUUUGGGACAUGAUGGUAUCUCAAAAGUAAGCCCCGGCUAACUACGUG